UACGUAGGGUGCAAGCGUUGUCCGGAAUUAUUGGGCGUAAAGAGCUCGUAGGCGGUUUUGUUGCGUCGGCUGUGAAAUCCCCGAGGCUCAACCUCGGGUCUGCAGUCGAUACGAGCAAACUAGAGUGUUGCAGGGGGAGAGUGGAAUUCCUGGUGUAGCGGUGAAAUGCGCAGAUAUCAGGAGGAACACCGACGGCGAAGGCAGGUCUCUGGGCAUUAACUGACGCUGGAGGAGCGAAAAGCAUGGGGGAGCGAACAGG
rnacentral:rRNA from 1 species